UACGGAGGGUGCAAGCGUUAUCCGGAUUCACUGGGUUUAAAGGGUGCGUAGGCGGGCAUUUAAGUCAGUGGUGAAAUACCUGAGCUUAACUUGGGAACUGCCAUUGAUACUAUUUGUCUUGAAUGUCGUGGAGGUUAGCGGAAUAUGUCAUGUAGCGGUGAAAUGCUUAGAUAUGACAUAGAACACCUAUUGCGAAGGCAGCUAACUACGCGAAUAUUGACGCUGAGGCACGAAAGCGUGGGGGAUCAAACAGG
rnacentral:rRNA from 1 species